rnacentral:lncRNA from 1 species
UUUCACAAUCGCCUUCUUGCUUGAGUUAACCUCUGGACGGCUCAAAUCUAUCCAAAUUAAUUGUAUAACUUCAUUAAAAUUUAUUGGGAAUAAUUCCGGAUAAUAUAACAUCGACUUAAAAUUUCACAUUCAAAAAGUCAACCAAAAGUUAACGCGAGACCCGCCUCUCGGAACCCGACAUAAUUUUCACGAAAUCCGAACACUCAUUUCGAUACGAGUUCAACCAUACCAAUUUUAUCAAAUUCCGACAUCGAAUUGGCUUUCAAAUCUUAAAUUUUCGUUUUUGGAAGAUUUGCUAAAAAUCUGAUUUUUCUUCCAUAAAUUCAUGGAUUCAUGAUGUAAAUGAGUAUAGAAUCAUGAAAUAUAAUCAAUAUAGGAUAAGAAACACUUACCCCAAUGUUUUCACGUGAAAAUCGCCCAAGAACCGAGCUCCAAAAAUUCUAAAACGAAAUGGCAAAGUGCUGAUUUUUUUGUGAUUAAAUGUUUCUGCCCAUCCGUCACUAAAAGCCAUUUUCAUUACUAAAAGUCGUCACUAAAUGUCCACCAGAAAUAGCUUUACCAGCCUUUAUUCAAUCGGUCAUAACUCACUGUACAAAUAUCCAAAUUAUGAAUGGUUUAACUUUCUGGAAACUAGAAUACAAGGUCUAUAACUUUUAUGUUUUGAAAAUCUUUAGAUUCCUUAUGGAUUUCGUGAUAUAAGCUUCCAAAAUAGGCUCCUCGCAUCAGAAAUUUCUGGGAAAAUUACAAAACAGCAUUACCAGCCUUCAUGAAAUCGAUCAUAACUUUCUAUACAAAUAUCAAAAUGAUGAAUGGUUUUAUUUUAUGGAAACUAGAUUUGAAGGGCUAUAAUUUUUAUGUUUUGUAAAUUUUCAGAUUCUUUAUAAAAUUCGAGAUAUCAGCUUCCAAAGUAGCCUCCUCGAUUGCACCAUUGCUGUCCAAAACAGCAGCUGCAACAGUUUCUUCUGUCCGAAAUCCAUUCCGUUAACCUUCUGAAAUCCACCCGAAACUCUCGAGACCUUAACCAAUUAUACAAACAUGUUUCAAAAUACAAUACGAACUUAAUUGAGGCUUCAAACCACGUCAAACAACGCCGAAAUUACGAAUCGCGCAUCAAAUUAUGAGUUUUUAUAUCUUCCAACUUCUAUAUUUUUGCGCCGAAAUAUAUCAAAUCAAUCCGGAAUGACUUCAAAUUUUGUGCACAAGUCAUAAAUGACAUAAUGGAGUUGUUCCAAUUUUCAGAAUUGAAUUCUGACCCCGAAAUCAAAAAAUUAACUCUCGGUCAAACUUUCCAAAAAUCUUCUAUUUUUCAACUUUCGCCAAAAUGCGUCGAAUUGUUCUACGGACUUCCAAAUCUAAAUUUGAACAUGCUCCUAAGUACAAAAUCACCAUAUAAAACUAUUGGAAUCAUCAAAAUUCCAUUCUGAGGUCGUUUGCUCAAAAGUCGACUCCCCGGUCAACUCUUUCUAUUUAAGCUUCAAAAUGAGAAUUAUUCUUUAAAUUUAACUCCGAAUCUUCCAAAAACCAAACUCGACCUCACAUGCGGGUCAUAAUACAUAUUACGAAACUGCUCAAGAUCUUAAGUCACUGAACGAGGCGUUAAUUCUUAAAACGACAAGUCGGGUCGUUACAAAUAGAAAUACACAUCUCUAGUUUAGAUAGGAAUCCAAUUCCCACUUCUAGCUCUCUGUGGAUUCGAUCCUGACCAUCUCGGAUAAAAGCUGCUUCAACCGCUCUCGCCACUUCAUAGUGGUGUAGGGUUGGCUCCGAUCACUAUUCCAUCCCCCCCCCCCCCACACACACACUUGGUCGACAUAUUCUAAUAUAGGGGGGACCAUUACAGCAUCAUCAACCCUGUGAUCUACAUAUACCUCCAAAAUAUCCCCACUUUUUAACUCUUCACAAAUACCCAUAAGGUCCCUAUAAACCUUAAUUACUACUAAACCAGGACAAUUAGGUGGUCUAACAUAAAUAACAGCAGAAGAACUAUUGUACCCAAACUCUUUCUAGGUUACAUAAUCUGUAAUUAUCCCACCAACAUAAUCGUCCAUUGAAACGGAAUGUAACUUAUCCAUGGAGAUUUUUCCACCAUAGAAAAACCUCAGUGUAACAAGUACAAAAGACGUUGAAAUACCUGAAUAUAGUAGAGAAUAAACUAAUUAAGGAUAAAUAGUUACUAUUAGACCCCGACAUAAAACGUCAUAAUACAUCCAACAAGAAAAAACUGAAAUUUGGUUAUUAUUACACCUUAAAAAUUGUAUUUCUGUUACUCGAUUUUACAUUGAAAACAUUAUAAUGAAGAAAUUUGAAGCAAGUUCAAACCCCUUGUUAUGGAUGAUAUUAAACAAACUAAAACGGAGAUAACGUUUGAACUUGAUUCUUCAAAGACCUUCAGCUUCGAACGGGUCUUCCACCAACUCGUCAAAUGAAACAAUAACAACAAACGGAACCCUAAGGAACAACGAAAUCGAAGGAUUUUGCAACAGGUCCCUUCGAUUUUGGUCAGACAAAUCGAUUUUGUUCAGCAAAUCGAAUCUUUGAAGGUGGGGCAUUAGGGUUCUUCAAUUUGGAAAUUUUUUACUAACGGGGUGAAUGAGAGUGUUUUACUAAAUAGGGGAAGGGUGUUAUUUUUAUUUACCGAAUAAUUUAAUUACGUGGCUUCAUAAUAAAAGCGUGUUUUCCCACUCAAGUUAUUAUAGUUGGGUUGGGGCUUAGGAGGGAGUAAAUAAAUAUAAUUAUUUUAAUAAUAGUGGGGUGUUAGGAUACCCGUAAAGUUUAGAUGUAUAAAUAAUUUUUCAGGACAAGUUGAAUGGGUCUUUAUGUAUUUUCUCAAACAAAAUUAACCAUAGCUAAUCAAUCAGUUGUUAAAUUACAAUUUGCUUUUAGUUUUUAGAUACUCUAUUUUAGAGAUAUGGUAAUUACUUUGCUUUAAUAGGACAGUGUCAAAGCGAAAGUAGUGUAUUGUAGUUUUUGUUUAGAUCUUACAUUUAUAUUAGGAAAUUUAUUAUAUAUAUAUAUAAAGUAUUUUAGUGUGAACCCAAUAAUUAUAAUGAAUUAUGAGUUAUGCAGCAAUUAAGAAUCUAUAAACUUCAAAUCAACUCCGCCUCUAUAUGAAAGUAGGACUAGUUUUUUUAUUUUGCCAUGAAAAACUAACACGUACAUAAAAAAAAAUAACUAUGAAUCAAUAGUUAAAUGUUGCAAUUUUCAUGUGCAUCGCAUAUUCGCACUUCGCACAUGCAUGUUUGCUAGUACGUGCAAUUAAACAGCACGGUAAAUUAACAGGCACUUCAAUUGGUGGCUUCGCCAAGUUUGUUGAAAGCCACUAAACAGUUGAUAAUGUCAAAAUUGUUUUUUCUAUACAGAAAAGUUUGGCCUGCUGGGUAGUCCGGAAGUUAGGCAUGUUUAGAGGGGCAAAGUUUGGCACUACAAUGGCUCCUGGUAGAUCAAUCGUUGUUUUUGAUAAUUCACCAAAAUGGUGUGAAUUAUUUGCCAUAAAGGUAGUGUGUAAAAAAAACAACAGAUAUACUUAUGACACAUGUUUAAUGUUUUGUAUGUAUGAUAUAUAGGACAUAACGCAUACACAACUUGCCUUAUAACACAUACAAAAUAUGCGUUAAUUGGUAAAUGUGUCCUUUUUUAACACAUUACUUUGGUCGUUUGGCAAAUAAUUCACAUCACUUUGGUUCCGGACUUAACCCUACUCACAAGCCGGAUAGCCUAGUUUUUGUUAAUACAUCGGCUAUAGCAUGUCUAUGGACACUCUUUUUUUAAAUCUCUCCCAUGAAUUCCCACUUUGUCACUCUAGUGACUCUAACUCGCAACCUCGAAAUUGAAAAAGUGAAGGGUGUACUAGUUUAGAUCUAGCAUCAUGCUGUUUUAUUUAUUGAGGUAUCGCAGAUACACCCUGUGUAUACGCUUAAAAUCGGGUCUAUUCGAUUUUACUAUUUGAUCGGGACUAGGGAAUUGCAUUAAUGGUAGGCCUGUAGUGGAUCAAGAUCAAAGCACGAGGAAAAGGUACUGAGUUCGAGAAUCGAAGUGCCUGUCGAGAUCGAGGCCAGCAAGGAUCGAGACCAAAUAGGGCAGACUUCGAGCAAAGCGCAAUAACAAAAAAAGCGAGAUAUCCGUGACUGAUCGAAGAUCAUGGCGGAAAUCUCGGAACAGAUCAAAUCAAGGGCGGUUGUUUAGGCUAAAUCAUGGGAUUUACUUUCGUAAUAAGAAUUGUACCAUAGAUAGGAUUUCUAUACUAUAUUAAGAGGGUUCUAAUCAUUUUGUAGGACCUUACAUUCACACAUAUUCUUAUUCAUCAGCUUGUUAUUGCACCAAUUAGUUCGAGGGUAUUCGAGCUCGAGGGCUGAACUCCGUUCAAACACUAGUUUGCUUUAUAUUAUUGUUAAUUUCUAUUAUUGAUCUUUACAUCUAUCAAUUGAUAUUUGGUGAAAUCACGUGUCCUUAAAACCACAUUAUAAGUUUAAUUGUUAUCCAAUUUUAAGGGUAAUCAGUUUAGCGCCCACCGCGGGGCUAAGGAUAAUAGUGAUUACCUAGUAUUAAUUCCCAUAACAUACACUGCUUUACGCUUGUUCUCAUAAGUGUCUUUGAUUUCAGGAAUCAACAUGUCAAAUUCUCAAGUAGCACUCACUCACACAGACAACGGCCUUGGUCAUCAUGGCGAGAACGAAAACAUAGUCGCCCUGGGAAAUGGGGUACCUCCAGUCAACCCUAAUGGACCACCGGCCGUAGACCCCAUCGAUGUCAGCUCUCAUGUUGCCAUUAAUGGGAAUUUGUGCGUCGACCCUGAAAAUAGCAUCCGUAGAGAUGCCCGAGCAGCCGAUCAGAAUGCACAGAGCGGUAAAGAAGGCAGAAUUUGGCUUUGAAUGAUAUUCGAAAUGUUGCAGACUCAACAAGCUGCGAUAGCGCAACUCCAAAAUCCAAAUAGAGCACCAAGCCGAAUUGAGCUCGAAACAUCACAAGAGUUUGUUCGUAGAGUCGAACCUGCGCCGGAGAAAUCGAACGCCAAUGAAUCGGGGACUGACCCCGCCAUUAUGAAGAUGCUCGAGUAACUCACUAAACGGAUCGAAUAAGGUGAAAUGAAAUCAAGGCUAAUGACAAAAAGGUAGAAACGUACAACUCACGGGUUGACCAAAUAUGGGGGCACCCCCGAUUUUAAAGGGUUUGAAUUCGAAGAAGUUCGUGCAGAAGACUUUCCCUCUAAGUGCGGCUCCGAAGCCCAUCCCGAAGAAAUUUCGUAUGCCAGAAAUUCCCAAAUACAAUGGGACCACAAACCCUAAUGUUUACUUCUUAUACAUGCAUAAUAAAGGGGAAUGGCUUAGAAGAUGAUGAGAUCAAAUCUGUUCUACUGAAAAAAUUUGGAGAGACUUUGUCGAAGGGGGUGAUGAUAUGGUACCACAACUUGCCACCCAAUUCCAUCGAUUCCUUCGCCAUGUUUGCAGAUUCAUCCAUGAAGGCACACGCCCGAGCAGUAAAGGUUGCGACCAGGAAGUCAGACCUCUUUAAAGUGAGACAAAAGGACAAUGAAAUAUUAAGGGAAUUCGUAUCUUGGUUCCAGAUGGAAUGCAUGGACCUACCCUCGGUCACAGAUGAUUGGGAUGUUCAAGCCUUCACUCAAGGUUUGAACGAGCAAAGUUUGAUAGCAUCACGACAACUAAAGCAGAAUUUAAUUGAAUAUCCAGUUGUGACCUGGGCCGAUGUACAUAAUUGAUAUCAGUCGAAAAACAGGGUCGAGGAUUAUCAAUUGGGAACCCUUUCCGGUUUCAUUUACUCAAAUAUGCCCGUCGGCAGAAUUCAAAGGGACAUCGACAGGGAACCCUAAUAGAACAGAGAUCGUUAGCAACCAUACAAUGCAGAUCGUAAAAACACUGACCUAGGACGUAAUCACAUUCGAAAUAAUUCAAGGAAUGAUCGAGGACAGAGCUCCCGGGGGCUCAUGAGUAAAAGUGGCUUCGAUAAACAUGUCAAGCCCACAGAAGCACCACGAUUGUCAGAAUAUAACUUCAGCUUCUAUGCAUCAAGUAUUGUGUCAGCCAUUGGACGAAUCAAGGAUACUAGAUAGCUCAGACCCCUACAGACUGAUCCAGCUCAAAGGAACCCUAAUCAAAUAUGCAAACACCAUGGUACCCAUGGACAUAAAACUGAAGACUACAAACAGUUGAGGGAGGAGGUAGCUCGUUUAUUCAACAAGGGUCAUCUUCGGGAAUUCUUAAGCGAUCGAGCCAAGAAUCACUUCAAAAACAGGGAUUCAAAUAGGCAAAACGAGUAGAAAGACCACAACAUGUGAUUCAUAUGAUCGUUGGAGGGGUCGAUAUUCCUUAAGGACCGGUAUUCAAACGCACCAAGGUGACUAUCACAAGGGAAAAACAAACCCGGGAUUAUUUACUAGAAGAAACCUUGUCUUUCAAUGACGAGGAUGCAGAAGGGAUCGAACAACCUCACAAUGACGCACUGGUAAUACCUAUCCUUAUGAAUAAAAUUCAAGUUAAAUGUGUGUUAAUUGAUCCAGGAAGCUAUGAAAAUAUUAUUCAAUCAAGGGUCGUAGAGCAACUCAGCCUCCAAGAUCAAAUCGUGCUCGCAACUCAGGUGCUUAAUGGCUUCAACAUGGCAAGUGAAACCACCAAAGGGGAAAUCAUUUUGCCAGUAAAUGUGGCUGGGACCAUCCUGGAAACAAAGUUCUAUGUGAUCGAAGGCGACAUGAAGUACAACACGUUGCUCGGGAGGCCUUAGAUCCAUACCAUGAGGGCAGUACCCUCGACGCUUCAUCAAGUCCUGAAGUUCCCAACAUCAGUAGGAAUCAAAACGGUGUACGGUGAACAAACCACCACCAAAGAAAUGUUUGCAAUGAUGUAGUACUAGUGUCAAAGUUUUCGUCAACAAAGGAAUCAGAGUCGAAGGGAAAGCGAGAGGUCAAAUAGCAACCACAAUCACUAGCCUCGGCCCGAGCGGAGGAGCAAGAAACUUUCGAGGAUGAUGAUUAUAUGAUACCUCGAACCUUCAUAACCCCCGAUGAUUCUGAUGCAACAAAGUCAACGGUCGAAGAGCUACCACAAAUCGUGUUGAUCGAGCAUCUGUCGAUCAAAAGGUAUAUCUGGGCACGGGGUUAACUCUAGAGCUCAGAAAAAAACUAGUUCAAUUUCUUUUAAAUAAGAUGGAUUGUGUUUCUUGGUCCUACCUAGAUAUGACAGGGAACCCACCGGAGACCACUACGCAUCGACUGAGCUUGGAUCCGAAGUUUCGCCCGGUAAAACAAAAGAGAAGACCUCAGUUCAAAGUAAAACAUGCAUUCAUCAAGGAUGAGGUAACAAAACUUCUCAAUAUAGGAUCCAUUUGGGAGGUAAAAUAUCCUGAAUGGUUAGCAAACAUAGUUGUAGUCCCUAAAAAGGGAAACAAACUUAGAAUGUGCGUAGACUAUAAGGAUUUAAACAAGGCAUGCCCUAAAGAUUCCUUUCCUUUACCGAAUAUCGAUCGCAUAAUCGAUGCCAGGGGCGGCCACGAGAUCUUUAGUUUUCUCGAUGUCUACUCCGGGUAACAAUCAAAUACAAAUGAACCCGGAAGAUCAGUAAAAGACUUCGUUUAUCAUUAAAUAAGACACCUAUUGCUAUAAUGUAAUGUCGUUCGGACUAAAAAAUACUGGUGCUACUUAUCAACGCCUAGUAAAUCGAAUGUUCGAAGAACAAAUAGGUAAAUCAAUAGAGGUUUAUAUUGAUGAUAUGCUGGUUAAGUCCGUGUGAGCAGAGGACCAUUUGAAACAUUUGCAGGAGACCUUCGACAUACUGAAAAAGUAUAACAUGAAGCUUAACCCGGAGAAAUGUGCAUUCGGGGUCGGGUCGGAAAGUUCCUCGGCUUUUUGGUAUCAAAUUGAGGAAUCAAAAUCAACCCCCAUAAAAUCAAGUCAAUCGAAGACAUCACAGUUGUUGCUAAUGUCAAGGAUGUACAAAGGUUAACACGACGCAUAGCCGCCCUGGGUCGAUUUAUUUCGAGGUCCUUAGAUAGGAGUCACCGGUUCUUCUCACUGCUCAAGAAAAACAGCAAUUUUGUAUGGACCCCAGAAUGUCAACAGGCUUUGGAGGAACUCAAACGCUGCCUAUCGAGCCCGUCAUUGCUUCACACCCGAAAGGCGGACGAGUAACUUUACUUAUACUUAGCGGUCUCGGAGAUAGCGGUAAGUGGGGUCUUAGUUCGAGAAGAACAUGGUACGCAAUUUCCAGUUUAUUAUGUUAGUCGAACCUUAGGUGAAGCCAAGACCAAUACCCGUACUUAGAGAAAUUAGCGCUUGCUUUAAUAAGUGCCUCUAGGAAAUUAAAGCCAUAUUUUCAAUGUCACCCAAUUUGUUUUGUAACCACUUACCCCCUUCGCAACAUUUUGCACAAGCCCGAGCUCUCGGGACGAUUGGCUAAAUGGGCUGUCGAGAUCAGCAGGUACAAUAUCAAGUAUCAACCCCGAACGGCCAUCAAGUCUCAAAUCUUGGCAAACUGCGUGACCGACUUCAUGCCAGCCCUCGUGCCCGAGGUCGAAAAGGAACUAUUAUUAAAGUCAGAUACAUUAUCGGGGGUGUGGAUCCUCUUCACAGAUGACGCUUAGAAUGUGAUGGGGCUCGGGCUAGGCAUCGUUUUGAAGUCACCCACAUGUAAUACAAUUAGACAGUCUAUCAAAACUUUGAUAUUAACUAACAAUGAGACCGAUUAUGAGGCCAUGAUUGCAGGUCUCAAGCUCGCUAAGAGCUUGGGAGCGGAGGUCAUCGAUGCCAAAUGCAACUCCCAACUUGUGGUAAAUCAAGUCAACAGGACUUUUGAGGUUCGAGAAGAUCGAAUGCAGAGGUAUUUAGACAAACUACAAGUGUCUCUACAUCGAUUUAAAUAAUGGACCUUAUAGCACGUACCUUGAGAGAAAAAUUGUUAGGCCGAUGCCCUUGCAAAUUUGGGGUCGUCGAUCAAAGAUGAGGAACUUAGCUCGGGGACUGUCGUACAACUUUCAAGGUCAAUAAUCAAAACACGCCGAAAUAAACUCUACAAGUCUAACCUGGGAUUGGAGGAAUGAGUACACCAAAUACCUAAAGAACGGGAAGUUGUCAUCGGAUCCUAAAGAAUCAAGGACUCUACGCACAAAGGCCACACAGUUUACAUUGGCCAAGGAUGGAACACUCUAUAGGAGAACGUUCAAUGGACCAUUAGCAAAAUGUUUAGGACCAGGAGACACUGAAUACAUUCUAUGAUAAAUUCAUGAGGGCACUUGCGAAAAUCAUUCUGGUGCCGAGUCAUUGGUUCAAAAAGUCAUCAGAUUAGGAUACUAUUGGGCCGAUAUGGAAAAAGACACUAAAGAAUUUGUUCGAAAGUGCGACAAAUGUCAAAGGUAUUCGCCGAUGAUCCACCAGCCCUGGGAGAAACUCCACUCAGUCCUGUCCCCAUGGCCGUUCAUGAAAUAAGGGAUGGAUAUCGUCGGCCCUCUACCAUCGACCCCAGGUAUAUUCAUUUUGUUUAUGACUGACUUUUUCUCUAAGUGGGUUGAAGCACAGGCCUUCGAGAAAGUCAGAAAAAAAAGAAGUCAUACACUUUAUUUGGGACCAUAUUAUAUGUCGAUUCGGAAUGCCUGCCGAGAUCAUAUGAGACAAUGGCAAGCAAUUCGUCGGCAGCAAAGUGACAAAGUUUUUCGAAGACCGCAAAAUAAAAAGGAUCCUAUCGAUGCCAUAUCAUCCAAGUGGGAACGGACAUGCCAAAUUAACAAACAAAACAGUCAUUCAAAGUUUGAAGAAAAGAUUGAACGAAGCUAAAGGAAAUGGAGAGAAAUAUUGCCCCAGGUCCUUUGGGUGUAUCGAACAAUGUCAAAAUCCAAUACAGGGGCAACACUGUUCUCUUUAGUCUAAGGUGUCGAAGCUCUGAUCCCAGUCGAAGUCGGGGAAGCUAGCUUCAGGUUUCAGUAUGCAACGGAAAAGUCAAAUCACGAGGCUAUGAACAUGAGCCUCAAAUUUCUAGAUGAAAGACGGGAGGCCACCCUUGUUCGAAUGGCCACACGGAAACAACGGAUCGAGAGGUAUUACAACCGAAGAACCAAUCUUCGACACUUUAAAAUUGGAAACUUGGUUCUGAGAAAGGUCACCACCAAUACUCGAGACCCAAACGAAGGAAAACUUGGCCCGAACUGGGAGGGACCGUAUUAGGUCCUCGAUAUCGUCGGAAAAGGAUCCUAUAAACUUGGUGUGAUGGACGGAGAGCAACUACCAAACAAUUGGAACACAUCACUCCUCAAACGAUAUUACUGCUAAGGUAUGACCUUCUCCAUUUUCAUUUACAUUUUAUACUAACCAAUUGCAGGUGUUCAACCGAAGAUAUCGAAGGUUCCUUCAUCACAAAGUCCUUAGGUCUAAAAGCACGCGUUGCACUUUUUUUCCCUUAGACCGGUUUUUAUCCCAAAUGGAUUUUUCCGGUGAGGUUUGUAAUGAGGCAACCAUUGUUUGUGCUAACUUAGAGCAACUCAACAGUGUCCAAGGUUCACCCUCGGAUGUUAACUUUGUUACAAUGAAGGUACUUUGUGUCAACAUAGUCUCUAUAGGUAAAACUUUGUAAGGGCCAAACAGUCAAAUGAACCGUGCAUGUUUAGAUCACUUAAACCCUGAAGGCAAACAUGUACGCAUGUAUAAUCUAUUGAGAGAAGUAUUUUUUCUUGCCAAAUAUUUCUUGCCUUAAAGAAAUUUUUACUUUACAAUUUCAUACUUUUGAUCUAUUGGGGAAACAUGCUUAAGGGCCGAUCACAACUGAAGUUCAAACAACUUACCCCGUACUCAGGGACUGCCGUCCGAAAAUCGAUGAAAUCGAACUACUAAAAUCUCGAGAUCAUAAGACCUUAAAAAGGCAACCCUCAUUUUUAUAGACCAUGACCACCCCACUUGAGGACUAACAUUUUGAACAAGUUAGAAGUAUAAUUGAGAAACAAGCCCAAGAGGCAAAUCUCAAGUUAAAGGCUACGGCCAAACUGACAAGGUUCGGAGACGUUCGAAUUCCGUGAUAAAAACGGGCCUUCUAAUAUCUUCACAAAACCGGUUAAAAAAAGCUACCCUCGGCAAAAUUAUAAAGAGUUUCGAUAACAUCAACCCUCGAAAACCCUAAAGGGGUACCGGAUUGUUCGAACUCUCGAACAAGCUUAUUUCACGCUAAGGCGUAAUGAAGCGAAGGGUUUCGAUGAUGCUAACCGUCGAAAAUCCUAAUGGAUGUCACACCUCCUUUUUACCCGAAAAGGAUAUAAGGGAGUUUUUUCAAUUAAAGUGACAAUAAUCGAAACGGAAUUAUUUAUUCAAAUUUAGAGUCGUCAUUUGGGAUAAUUUAUGGUGUCCCAAGUCACCGGUUUAAUAUCCCGAAUCGAGAAAGUUUGACUCUAUUUUUACAGUCCGUGAAACACAGAAAUCCGAGUAAGGAAUUCUGUUAACCCAGGAGAAGGUGUUAGGCAUUUCCGGGUUCUGUGGUUUUAGCACGGUCGCUUCAAUCAUACCUGACUUAAUUAAAUUAUCUAAUUACUUAUCUUAGAACCUAUGUGCAUUUUUACCUCUUACCGCUUUUAAUUCCUUGAUCAUUCGUAAUUAUAGAAUUAUCUUGGAACGAGUCACGCGUAUGUGUACUCGUUUUGUUAGGCGCGCUAAAAAUCAUGUCACACGUACGUGUACAUAAUUAAUAACACUUAUUAAUAUUAAGAUUGUUUCAUCCAAAGUUGCGAGAACGCAUACCUUGGUUUUAAUUUUGAAAAUCGUAACCAUGUCAUGUGAACGUGUACAUAAUCACGAUAAUUUAUUUAUUAAUACGCGCCUAAAGCAUUUCUACGAAUAUUCAUUAUUCUUCCUAAAUUUUGAGAUUUUUGUGAAGAUAAAGAGUUAUGGAUAGUUGUAAAAAAGAGGUGCAUGAUUGUGAUGUUAUUGGGCUUCAUAGGAUUUAAUUUUUGGCUCAAAUUAAUUCUAAUAAAUACUUUAAGCUUUAAAGUCUAACACUUCUCAUUUCUAAAAUCAUUACUAAGUUGUCAUCUACGGCACAUUAAAUAUCUAAGAAAAUUUAAACUAAAAGAAGAUCUCUUUCGAAAUAAAACAAUUUAGCAUGACUCUAUUGUCGAUAACUCAUUUUCAAUUCAUUUUAAAUCAAACCCCAUAGCACAUCGACCAACUAUUUACAUAAAUGAAAUAAGCUACAGGAGAUAAAGCAUAGCAUAAAGCAGAGCCAAAGAUCGACAAUGCAGAACCCAAGCGGAAUUAAACCCAACCUUCCAAACUCCCUAAGCUAAAUUAUAUAAUUCAAUAACUUGUAUUGCAUGAUUUUUUUAACAUGCUACCACAAAAUUAAACAACACAAGCAUAUCAGCAAGAAAAAAAUCAAAAUCUAUGGCAAAUCGGGGUAUGAACUAAUGAAAAUUCUUUAACAAAUAUUACAAGCAAACACAUGAACAGAGAUUCACGAGCAAACAUAAUAUAAAAAAAAAUCAACAAAAAAUAUAAAUCGAAAGAAGCAAGAACGGACCUCAAUAAGCCAUAAUUCAUUUACAAUGGGAGCUAUCAAAUCCAAGUACAAUGGAGAGGUUCGACUUAAUAAUUCUGCUUGAGAUCUGAACCAAGAUUGGAGACUUCUAAAGGCAACAUCGUCGGAACCUCGAAUCGGCGAACUCGAACAUCACCUCACUUUAACGAUUAUUACGGAGCUGAUUUUGGACUGAUUUUGAAGUUGUUUUCGAGCUAUUUCGCAGCUGGUUUCUAUUGCAUUUUGGGAUGCUUUUCGUAGUUGUUUAACCGGUAGAUUUAGACUGAUUUUCAGAGCAAAUUUUGGAGAUGUUUAGGUUCCUUUUGGAUUUGUUUCCAUGGAAGUUCGAGGUGAGUUUUGGACUGGUAUUUAUGGCUGAGUUUCAUGGAGUUUCAACUGAUUUGGGGUGAGUUUAAAUGGCGGUGAAUGUAGCGAGGACAAGAAGAAGGUAGCUGCAGCUACGUUUUCUCUAUUUUUUUAGACUCUCUUUUUCGUCUCUAUCUCCAAAUCCCUCUGUUUUUCACCUCUCCGUUUUUAAUUAUUGGUCCUUGUUGUUAUCCCCCUUUGUUUUUGUGUUGUUUUUUUGUUUUCUUCCCAUAUCUCUCGUUCUCUUUUAUUUUGUUCUAAGAAUUCCCCCUGUUUCGUGGCUCCCUCCCCUGGUUUUGAUUUGGUCCAGAGCUGGUUCUCAAAGAUGGGGAAUGGCAAGCUCUCUCUUUUCUCGAUCCGGAGUUAGGCCUUUUCCUUUGUUCUUUUGUCGUUCCACCAAAUCUCCCCUGUCGUUCUUUUUUCCUAGGUCUAUAUUCUGUUUGUGUGUGUUUAUAUAUUUCAAAGAGAAUAAAGAAAAGCCCUUCUCCAAGAAAAACGUGACCAGUUCCUUUUUCCCCUUUUUUUGUUGUGCCAAAUCCCUUUUUCUCUUUCUUUUCCAUAUCUGUUAUGGGUGUGUAUACAUAAGUGUGUG